ensembl:lncRNA
GAGCUACUGUAGCACAAAUUGCUGAAAAAGUUCAUGCUGGAUAUGAUGUCAGAACACACAGUGCAUCGCAGCUUGCUACGUAUGGGGAUGUGUAACAAGAGACUGGUCAGAGUGCCCAUACUGACCCCUGUCCACCACUGAAAGUGAAUAAAAAGGGCACAUGGGCAUCAGAACUGGAGCAUGGAGCAAUGGAAGAAGAUGGCCUGGUCUGAUGAAUCACUUUUUCUUUUGUGGACAGCCGGGUGCGUGUGCGUCGCUUUCCUGGGUAAGAGAUGGCACCAGGAUGCAGUAUGGGAAGAAGGCAAGCCGGCAGAGGCAGUGUGAUGCUCUGGGCCAUAUUCUGCUGGGAAACCUCCAGAGUCAGUGAAGAUGGAAAGCUAUGGAGCACAAUGGAGAGGUAGAGCAGUGCUCUUUGACAGAGGAGUCAUUGACCUCUAUUAUGUGUCCAGCUGUGUGUGAGUGAAACAGCUUCUUCCCAUUUACCCGGGACAUGUUCAGUCUGGCUGCAUUGAGCAUCAGGGGUCCACUGUGUGUGACUAAUCUGCAUCUCUGCGGGAACAGAAGGAUGAACCGGACCAUCAUAUAAGGCAUAAGAGCAGAGUAGUCAUUAGGUCUCUUCUUCAUAUCCAUCAGUCCUGCUGUGCAGAAAUAUAUGGAGAGCAGGUGUUUCAAGGAAUCCAACGCAUAUACAGCACCCCCUGGAGGCCAGGCAUAUGCAGG